UACGUAGGGUGCGAGCGUUAAUCGGAAUUACUGGGCGUAAAGGGUGCGCAGGCGGUCCUGCAAGUCAGGCGUGAAAUCCCCGGGCUCAACCUCGGAACUGCCUUCGAUACUGCGGGUCUCGAGUCCGGGAGAGGUGAGUGGAAUUCCUAGUGUAGAGGUGAAAUUCGUAGAUAUUAGGAAGAACACCAGUGGCGAAGGCGGCUCACUGGCCCGGUACUGACGCUGAGGCGCGAAAGCGUGGGGAGCAAACAGG
rnacentral:rRNA from 1 species